rfam:Bacterium CG2_30_37_16 isolate CG2_30_37_16 cg2_3.0_scaffold_14044_c, whole genome shotgun sequence.
GGGCCUGUAACAUAGUGGUAGUGUACCCGGUUUGCAUCCGGGAGGCGCGAGUUCGAUUCUCGCCAGGUCCA